rnacentral:rRNA from 1 species
AGCAUAUCAAUAAGCGGAGGAAAAGAAACUAACAAGGAUUCCCCUAGUAACUGCGAGUGAAGCGGGAAAAGCUCAAAUUUAAAAUCUGGCAGUCUUUGGCUGUCCGAGUUGUAAUCUAGAGAAGUGUUAUCCGCGCUGGACCGUGUACAAGUCUCCUGGAAUGGAGCGUCGUAGAGGGUGAGAAUCCCGUCUUUGACACGGACUGCCAGGGCUUUGUGAUGCGCUCUCAAAGAGUCGAGUUGUUUGGGAAUGCAGCUCAAAAUGGGUGGUAAAUUCCAUCUAAAGCUAAAUAUUGGCGAGAGACCGAUAGCGAACAAGUACCGUGAGGGAAAGAUGAAAAGAACUUUGGAAAGAGAGUUAAACAGUACGUGAAAUUGCUGAAAGGGAAACGCUUGAAGUCAGUCGCGUUGUCCAGGGAUCAACCUUGCUUUUGCCAGGUGCACUUCCUGGUUGACGGGUCAGUAUCAAUUUUGAUCAUUGGAAAAAGAUUAGGGGAAUGUGGCAUCUUUGGAUGUGUUAUAGCCCUUGGUUGCAUACAAUGGUUGGGAUUGAGGAACUCAGCACGCCGCAAGGCCGGGUUUUAUACCACGUACGUGCUUAGGAUACUGGCAAAAUGGCUUUAAUCGACCCGUCUUGAAACACGGACCAAGGAGUCUAACAUGCCUGCGAGUGUUUGGGUGGAAAACCCGAGCGCGUAAUGAAAGUGAAAGUUGAGAUCCCUGUCGUGGGGAGCAUCGACGCCCGGACCAGACCUUUUGUGACGGUUCCGCGGUAGAGCAUGUAUGUUGGGACCCGAAAGAUGGUGAACUAUGCCUGAAUAGGGUGAAGCCAGAGGAAACUCUGGUGGAGGCUCGUAGCGAUUCUGACGUGCAAAUCGAUCGUCAAAUUUGGGUAUAGGGGCGAAAGACUAAUCGAACCAUCUAGUAGCUG